GGCGUCAGGAGUGAACGCUGGCGGCAGGCUAAUACAUGCAAGUCGAACGGUAACGACCGGUAGCAAUACUGGGGCGACGAGUGGCGCACGGGUGCGUAACGCGUAUGCAACCUGCCCUCAACCGGGACACAACGCCGAGAAAUUGGCGCUAAUAUCCCAUGUGUACAGGAGACGGCAUCGUUUUCUAUAUAAAGAUUUAUGGUUGAGGAUGGGCAUGCGUAACAUUAGCUAGUUGGCGGGGUAACGGCUCACCAAGGCGACGAUGUUUAGGGGUUCUGAGAGGAUUCACCCCCACACUGGAACUGAGACACGGUCCAGACUCCUACGGGAGGCAGCAGUAGGGAAUAUUGGGCAAUGGAGGCAACUCUGACCCAGCCAUGCCGCGUGAAGGAAGACGGCCCUAUGGGUUGUAAACUUCUUUUGCCGCAGAGUAACCGCGGGGACGUGUCCCUGCCUGAGAGUAUGCGGCGAAUAAGUAUCGGCUAACUCCGUGCCAGCCGCGGC
rnacentral:rRNA from 1 species